rnacentral:rRNA from 1 species
UACAGGGGGUGCAAACGUUGCUCGGAAUCAUUGGGCGUAAAGCGCACGUAGGCGGUCUGUUAUGUCGGAUGUGAAAGCCCUUGGCUCAACUGAGGAAGUGCAUCCGAAACUGGCAGGCUAGAGUACUAAAGAGGAUCGCGGAAUUCCCGGUGUAGAGGUGAAAUUCGUAGAUAUCGGGAGGAACACCGGUGGCGAAGGCGGCGAUCUGGGUAGAUACUGACGCUGAGGUGCGAAAGCGUGGGAGCAACAGG